rnacentral:rRNA from 1 species
UACGUAGGGAGCAAGCGUUAUCCGGAUUUAUUGGGUGUAAAGGGUGCGUAGACGGGAGAGCAAGUUGGUUGUGAAAUCCCUCGGCUUAACUGAGGAACUGCAACCAAAACUAUUCUUCUUGAGUGCUGGAGAGGAAAGUGGAAUUCCUAGUGUAGCGGUGAAAUGCGUAGAUAUUAGGAGGAACACCAGUGGCGAAGGCGACUUUCUGGACAGUAACUGACGUUGAGGCACGAAAGUGUGGGGAGCAAACAGG